rnacentral:rRNA from 1 species
GACGAACGCUGGCGGCGUGCUUAACACAUGCAAGUCGAACGGUAAGGCUCCAGCUUGCUGGGGUACACGAGUGGCGAACGGGUGAGUAACACGUGGGUGACCUGCCCUGCACUUCGGGAUAAGCCUGGGAAACUGGGUCUAAUACCGGAUAGGACCGCACCGUGAGGGUGUGGUGGAAAGUUUUUUCGGUGUGGGAUGGGCCCGCGGCCUAUCAGCUUGUUGGUGGGGUAAUGGCCUACCAAGGCGGCGACGGGUAGCCGGCCUGAGAGGGUGGACGGCCACAUUGGGACUGAGACACGGCCCAGACUCCUACGGGAGGCAGCAGUGGGGAAUAUUGCACAAUGGGCGGAAGCCUGAUGCAGCGACGCCGCGUGGGGGAUGACGGCCUUCGGGUUGUAAACUCCUUUCACCAUCGACGAAGGGUUUCUGACGGUAGAUGGAGAAGAAGCACCGGCUAACUACGUGCCAGCAGCCGCGGUAAUACGUAGGGUGCGAGCGUUGUCCGGAAUUACUGGGCGUAAAGAGCUCGUAGGUGGUUUGUCGCGUCGUCUGUGAAAUUCCGGGGCUUAACUCCGGGCGUGCAGGCGAUACGGGCAUAACUUGAGUACUGUAGGGGAGACUGGAAUUCCUGGUGUAGCGGUGAAAUGCGCAGAUAUCAGGAGGAACACCGGUGGCGAAGGCGGGUCUCUGGGCAGUAACUGACGCUGAGGAGCGAAAGCAUGGGGAGCGAACAGGAUUAGAUACCCUGGUAGUCCAUGCCGUAAACGGUGGGCGCUAGGUGUGGGUUUCCUUCCACGGGAUCCGUGCCGUAGCUAACGCAUUAAGCGCCCCGCCUGGGGAGUACGGCCGCAAGGCUAAAACUCAAAGGAAUUGACGGGGGCCCGCACAAGCGGCGGAGCAUGUGGAUUAAUUCGAUGCAACGCGAAGAACCUUACCUGGGCUUGACAUAUACAGGAUCGCGCCAGAGAUGGUGUUUCCCUUGUGGCUUGUAUACAGGUGGUGCAUGGUUGUCGUCAGCUCGUGUCGUGAGAUGUUGGGUUAAGUCCCGCAACGAGCGCAACCCUUGUCUUAUGUUGCCAGCACGUUGUGGUGGGGACUCGUAAGAAACUGCCGGGGUUAACUCGGAGGAAGGUGGGGAUGACGUCAAAUCAUCAUGCCCCUUAUGUCCAGGGCUUCACACAUGCUACAAUGGUCGGUACAGUGAGUUGCCAGUCCGUGAGGGCGAGCUAAUCCCGCAAAGCCGGUCUCAGUUCGGAUCGGGGUCUGCAACUCGACCCCGUGAAGUCGGAGUCGCUAGUAAUCGCAGAUCAGCAACGCUGCGGUGAAUACGUUCCCGGGCCU